AUGAUCCUACUGCACCGGAGCUGUCGCUGGCGCGAUGCACCGACGCUGGGUGCGCAGCGCGUUGCAGGCUGCCGCGCUGCCCCUGCUCCCCGGCGGCUGAAGCCCAUCUCGUUUCUCUCUGAUCUUGCUCUUUUUGCAUCUAUCGGAGACUUUAGUCUCCUGCUGCUUCUGCAGCGUCUUGACACCGGAGGCUAUGGGAAGGGGGGCAGCCCCCGGCAGCGUGGGCCGUCCUCCCGCAUGCUGCUUUCCAGGGGGUCGGCUGGGCCGUUUGAGGUAACGAGGGUUUGCAGGCAGGCGAAAACAAAGCGCACCAUCUCCCCGAAGGAGGCAAGCGUGGAAACCAGCAUGGUUUGCCGGCACCUCUGCCCCCGGGGCAAGGCCUCUCCUCGCCCCUCGCCGGCCCUGCCAGAAGCGCGGGGGGCAUCCAGGAGCGCUCCCCUCCGGCCGCACGCGCGCUCCUGCCGCCCCCUCCAGGGCUUUCCAGCCAGAGAGCGCUCCCUGGGCGCCCGGUGCCGGGCCCAAACCCGGGCCGAGCCCCAUGCCGGCAGCCCAGGCCUCGGGGAGCCGGGCGCCCGCCAGCCCCUGCCACAGCGCCACCGGCAGUCGGGCGUCCAUGUUGCCUCACGGCUGGGGAGCGUGGCCACCGCCAGCCCCAGCACYUGCAUCUGCAGUUUGCCCCCUCUCUCCCUGUUCCGUUUUUUGCCAAACCAGCCCAGGCGGGCCGGAGGGACUGCCAGGCCUUGCCGCGCUCUCAGGGCCUCCGGGCGCCUGCAAGCCGCCAUCCGGCCGAGCGGCCGGCCAGAGCGCGCGGCCCCUGAGCCGGGGCGCCCUCCUGUCAUGGCAGCCCGCGCUCUCCRUAAACACGGAGGGGAAACGCGAGACCGGCCGCCGUUCGCUCCCCUCAGCCUCCCGCUUGCCGGCAGCGCAGCGCCACAGCGAAACGGGAGCGGCGGAAAUGGCACCCCGGGGCCACGCACGCCAUCGCGAGGGGCGGGACAGGACGGGACGGGGGGAAGCACGCCCGACCACAUUUCGGCAGGAGGCCUUCAGCAUGAUUUUGGCCACCCCCCCCCCUUCACUUGCCGCAAACCCCGUUGA
rnacentral:lncRNA from 1 species